rnacentral:rRNA from 1 species
UAACGGCGAGUGAAGAGGAAAGAGCUCAAAGUUGGAACCUGUUUGGCCUAGCUAAACCGGAUUGUAGACUGUAAAAGUGUUUUCCAGGCAAGCCGAGUAAAUAAGUCCUUUGGAACAGGGCAUCAUAGAGGGUGAGAAUCCCGUCUUUGGCUUGAGCAUUUGCCUUUUGUGAUACGCUUUCAAAGAGUCAGGUUGUUUGGGAAUGCAGCCUAAAUUGGGUGGUAAAUCUCACCUAAAGCUAAAUAUUGGCGAGAAACCGAUAGCGAACAAGUACCGUGAGGGAAAGAUGAAAAGAACUUUGAAAAGAGAGUUAAACAGUAUGUGAAAUUGUUAAAAGGGAACCGUUUGGAGCCAGACUGGCUUGUCUGUAAUCAAUCUAGGCUUCGGCCUGGAUGCACUUGCAGGCUAUGCCUGCCAACGACAAUUUGACUUGAGGGAAAAAACUAAGGGAAAUGUGGCCCACUUGUGGGUGUUAUAGUCCCUUAGAAAAUACCUUGGGUUGGAUUGAGGAACGCAGCGAAUGCUUUUUGGCGAGUUUUCCAGGAAGGUUUUCUGAGGUACUACGGUAUCAAGGUUGAUCUUUUUGGUUAUACUUCUAUUCGCUUAGGUUGUUGGCUUAAUGACUCUAAAUGACCCGUC